GAUGAAGAACGCAGCGAAAUGCGAUACGUAAUGUGAAUUGCAGAAUUCAGUGAAUCAUCGAAUCUUUGAACGCACAUUGCGCCCGCCAGCACUCUGGCGGGCAUGCCUGUUCGAGCGUCAUUUCAACCAUCAAGCCCCAGGCUUGCGUUGGAGCCCUGCGGCUGCCGCAGCCUCCUAAAAGCAGUGGCGGACUCGCUAUCACACCGAGUGCAGUAGAUUACUCUUCGCUCAGGGCGUGCAGCGGGUUCCGGCCGUGAAACCCCCUACUUUUAAAGGUUGACCUCGGAUCAGGUAGGAAUACCCGCUGAACUUAAGCAUAUCAAUAAGCGGAGGA
rnacentral:misc_RNA from 1 species